AGAACAGCAACUCCACUCUCCUGGGAUCACUAGAAAUUGGGGCUCCCCUCUCCUGCAAUUCCAUGUGGCGGCAGAUCUACAUAGAGUGCAACAACUGUCCGAACCCGCCUACAGAGAUCUCCCAAAAUAUGGUUCCUGAAGGCAGUGUGACCAUCAGCGACAUAGUUUCAGGAAUCACAGUCAGUUUCAGAGGGAAGGGGAGAGCAACAAAAAUCCAAUACAGAGUUCCAAGAAGACCUAGGAAAAUAGGGAAGAGCCAGGUUUUUAACACUCAACAAUCAGAUCAAUAGUUACAAAACAGCAUCAUCCCCAAGAGAAGCCCAAGAUUUUUCUCCAAUUCAAACAACUAUGAUUCA